UGUCCUUUUCUGCCGCUGAAGUUUGUGCACGUUAAAGUUUGUCUUCAGAUGCUCUCCCUCUUCUCUCCUCCGCGGAGAGUGAGUAGUUCGGCUGCUCCUGCGUGAUCCCUCCGCGCCGUGACUUGUCGCCGCGUCGGCUGCACGACGCGUGCCUCUCGCUGUGUUAAACUGGGCCGCGUGCAGAUGGAGGAUCGAUUGUUUUCUUUUCUCCUCAGAAAUCUCUAAUUGAGCGAAUACGGACUGCAGAGGGGAGGAAAGAAGAAGGAGAGGAAGAAAAUAGAAUCAGCCGGGCCUGCAGUGUAAACCAAGAGGUCACAGGUUCGAGCCCCGCCUGAUGCUUGUGCGUCAAACACGUAAAUCUGGAGAAAGACGCCGACCAUCGGCACAUCAUCUCCUCCGAGGAAGCGGCUCUUCUCCCCCACGCAACACGCCUCGCGCUCGGUCCGUCCCCUCCCGGUCUGUCCCCUCGUGCCACCAGAUUGCAGACAAAUAAAAGACGAGCGCGGAGGCGACGGACGCCUCUAUGAAGUAGAAAAAGAAAAAAGAAGAAGAAGAAGCUUCUUCACGCUCGGACGCCUCUUUUGUAACACUUUUUUUUCUUUCUGGCACAUAAUAAAUAAAAACCUGCUCGCUCACAAAA